UAUAAGUGCAGGUAGUAAUACACUGUGUACCAGCGAGCAGUGAAUUUACGUUUAAGCGUACUUUAAGUACGUCAUCUCGCUGGGAGAAAAACACCUUUAUCGUAUGAUGAGGUGUUUUAUCUUUAUAA
ncrna:unclassified sequences DTF3800-I RNA